UAAGGGAUAUUGGUCAAUGGGGCGGGAGCCUGAACCAGCCAUGCCGCGUGAGGGAAUGAGGCCCUACGGGUCGUAAACCUCUUUUGCCGGGGGAUAACGGGCGCCACGCGUGGCGCCGUGAAGGUACCCGGAGAAUAAGCAUCGGCUAACUCCGUGCCAGCAGCCGCGGUAAUACGGAGGAUGCGAGCGUUAUCCGGAUUUAUUGGGUUUAAAGGGUGCGUAGGCUGUAAGUCAAGUCAGCGGUGAAAAGUCGGGGCUAAACCUUGAGGGUGCCGUUGAAACUGAUUUACUAGAAUGUGGAUGAUGCCGGCGGAAUGUGUCAAGUAGCGGUGAAAUGCAUAGAUAUGACACAGAAGGCCGAUUGCGAAGGCAGCUGGCAAAGGCACGAUUGACGCUGAGGCACGAAAGUGCGGGGAUCGAACAGGAUUAGAUACCCUGGUAGU
rnacentral:rRNA from 1 species